CAGUGAUGCACCAAUUCGGAUAGGGCAGGAAAGAACGGUGAAAGACGAGCGCCGCGCGAAGGCCGGUGAACUUCGUCGCCGUGAUGCUUCGUCUUCCCACUCUCCUCCCCCUAAAACCCUCGCCUCCCACCACCGGCUUAAACCCCAUCCACGGCCGCCGCCAUGGCCACCACCCCAGCCGCCUCCUCGCCUCCUCCGCCCCGCCGCCGCCACCACCACGGCCUCCCAAGCCCGAGCCCCGUACCAGCCACGAGAACCUAGGCGACGACACCCCCGAUUUCCCCACAACCAAGCCCCGCAAGCCGCGCCGCGGGCGCCGGAGCGAGGCGGCGGCGGUGGAGGACUUCGUGCGUGGCCGCCUCGAGCAGGUCUUCGCUUCCAUCCGGGAGCGCGACCCCGAAGUCCUCGAAGGCAAGGGCGACAUCUUGAAGCGAAAGGAGGAGCUCUCCGACGAGGAGGGAAAAGAGGGGACUGGUGAGGAAGAGGGGGAGCUGAAGGCUGUGGUUGAGGAGGAGGAUCCCUCCUGGCCUCUGGACGCCGACAUCGGGUGGGGGAUUCGGGCGUCGGAGUACUUUGACAAGCAUUCCAUCAAGAAUGUGACGGUGGAUGGUGUGGAGAUCGAUUGGGAGAGGGAGGUCGAGGAGGGAUGGGUCAAAGAGAUCAACUGCUUGGAGUGGGAGAGCUUCGCCUUCCACCCUAGCCCCCUCAUCGUUCUUGUCUUCGAGCGCUACAACAGGGCAGCUGACAAUUGGAAGUUUCUUCAAGAAUUGGAAAAGGCGGCUAAAGUUUACUGGAAUAGUAAAGAUCGGCUACCUCCUCGGACAGUGAAGGUUGAUAUGAAUAUUGAGAGAGACCUGGCAUUUGCACUUCAAGUAAAAGAAUGCCCACAAUUAUUAUUCCUCAGGGGAAACAAGAUAUUAUACAGGGAAAAAGAACUAAGAACUGCCGACGAACUAGUUCAAAUGAUUGCCCAUUUCUACUACAAUGCAAAGAGACCAUCUUGUGUUAAUCCUGAAGCUAUUGCACCUCCGUGCUAAUCUCCUGCAUUUCAGCGCUUAUGUAUUGAGACAGUGCCUUAAUUCUCAACUCUUGGUGAGUGUACACUGUGGAAAAUAGUCUAAAUAGACCAGUGUGGUUAUGAUGCUUGUAUCUGUAAUAAAUGUAUCACUUGAAGAGGAAGGAGAGAAACCUCUUACUGGCUCAUCUCAAGUUGGGAGGGGGUCAGGUAUCAACUAUGUCAUAUAUUUUGGUAUGCUCAUGUUUUUAGCUGUACACUUUCACCUUUGUACUGUACUCUAACAAAACAUACAGUUCAUCAAAUUUCUAGAUAGAACAGGAGGGAAUGCUAGCUUAAUUAUCUGCGUGGCCAUCCUGUUAAGGAGGUUGUAAAGUCGAUUGUAAACUUUUGAGGCGUAGUGUAAUGUCAUUUCACGCCAUAGAUGCAAAAUGAAGGCAGGGGGGUCAACCCAUUUGUCAUCUUA